rnacentral:lncRNA from 1 species
ACCCUAUCUUGAGCCGCCUGCAAAUUUCAGUAUAGCUAACAAGUGAAACUUGAUUCAGUUGUUUCGAUUACUGCUAAAUAGACCUGAUCAAAUUCAGCCUGAUCUAAGCCGAAGAGUGUCGUAUUUGACCUAAUCUCGGUAAGUAGUAGGAUAAUACAUGCGAGUAUUUCUCAAACUUUUGGAGAAUUACAUUACGUAUUGGUUUGUUCUCAAAAUUUCACUUGUUUCUGAAAAUUCUGGAUGAAAAGUCCUUGCUUUUUGUUCUGAAUAGAGUUACUGUCUGUCUAGCAUUUUACACAAUGUAUGCCGCAUCAUUUAGUUCAAAAUGUCAUUCAAUUCUCAACAAAGUAAAAUUUUACUUUUCCAGGGGGGGGAAAAGAAGUAAAAGGGUCUUCUUUUAAAUGGAGUACUGCACCAAACCAAUGAUUAAGCUUACUUGGUCAAUUGCUGAAACAAGAUCAGCAGUAGUUCCUCCUGCAGGAUACAUGGCCUUGUAUACUCUGAGCCUGUUCAAAAACACACAGAGUGCUACACAAACUUAGUGAUCACUUAAUAGUAAUUUCAUGAGAUAUUCGUAUUUGAACUGCAGCUGUGGUCUUGCCUUGCUCGAGGCGCCAUUCCGCUCGCAAACCCGUACAUGGCACCGUCUACAAUCACAGGGACUUGCCAGUUCCCUGCCGCGAUCGAAGCCACAUGACUGCAUGCGAGGAUCCUCGCUUCGAUUAGUUCAUCUCUUCAAAUGUAGUUUAAGUUUAAUUGCACACUACUAGGGAACACUAACUAUUAAGAUGCUUUAGUUAGUCCUUAAUAUCUCUAUCAAUUUCAUGCACUACUAGUCCCUGAACUUCCAACUCGAGUUUCAUUUGGUCCUCAAAUUUGAAAAUUUGACCGCAUCAGCAUUUACGAAAUUCAAGUAAAUUGCACCCCUGAAUAGUUCUCCAAUAUCAAACUGAGAAGUUCAAGAAUUAUAUAAAUUGAUAGUUGAAACAGAAUGCUUGUGUUCUGACGGAUUGUACGUGCAAUGAAAACUCUGCUCAUGCUGCAGGUCUGUCGUAAACGAACCAAAAUGUGGUGCAAUAAGAAGAAAACCAUGCACAACAUAAGAAGCUAUAGAUAUAACCUGCCAUGUCCAACACCAUCAAAAGGCGACAAAUCUCGCGAAGGAUCGAGAGGAAGAACUGCAGCU